rnacentral:rRNA from 1 species
GGACGAACGCUGGCGGCGUGGAUUAGGCAUGCAAGUCGAACGGUAUGGUGCUUUCGGGCAUCAGAGAGUGGCGAACGGGUGAGUAACACGUAGGUGAUCUACCCUCAAGACGGGGACAACCCAGGGAAACUUGGGCUAAUACCGGAUGAUAGCAGCAGUGAUGUUGUUUAAAAGAUGGCUUUCGGGCUGUCGUUUGGGGAUGAGCCUGCGUCCUAUUAGCUAGUUGGUAUGGUAAUGGCAUACCAAGGCGAUGAUAGGUAGGCGGCCUUAACGGGUGGUCGCCCACACUGGGAUUGAGAUACGGCCCAGACUCCUACGGGAGGCAGCAGUCGAGAAUAGUCUACAAUGGUCGGAAGACUGAUAGUGCGACGCCGCGUGAACGAUGAAGCCCUUCGGGGUGUAAAGUUCUUUUAUAUGUGAGCAGUGGGUUUUACGUUAAUAGCGUGGAAUCAGGGAUAUUAGCAUAUGAAUAAGCAACGGCUAACUCCGUGCCAGCAGCCGCGGUAACACGGGGGUUGCGAGCGUUGUCCGGAAUUACUAGGCGUAAAGGGCAGGUAGGCGGAUCUAUAAGUUUUUUGUCAAAUUCAACGGCUCACCCGUUGCGCGGCAGGAGAUACUGUAGAUCUGGAAUGCGGUUGGGGAAGACAGAAUUCCUGGUGUAGCGGUGGAAUGCGCAGAGAUCAGGAGGAAUACCGAAGGCGAAGGCAGUCUUCUAAGCCGUAAUUGACGCUAAACUGCGAAGGUGUGGGUAUCAAACAGGAUUAGAUACCCUGGGUAGUCCACACAGUAAACGAUAAUCACUGGGUGUCGGGUUCGUAGAGGAUUCGGUGCCGUAGCUAACGCGAUAAGUGAUUCGCCUGGGGAGUACGAUCGCAAGGUUGAAACUCAAAGGAAUUGACGGGGGCCCGCACAAGCGGUGGAGCAUGUGGUUUAAUUCGAGGCAACGCGAAGAACCUUACCCGGUCUUGACAUCUGCAGUAGGUUUCAGAGAUGAGGCCGUGCCGGCUUGCCGGAACUGCAAGACAGGUGCUGCAUGGCUGUCGUCAGCUCGUGUCGUGAGAUGUUGGGUUAAGUCCCGCAACGAGCGCAACCCCUGCUUCCAGUUACCAUCAUUUAGUUGGGGACUCUGGAAGGACCGCUGCGGUAACAACGCAGAGGAAGAUGGGGACGACGUCAAGUCAUCAUGGUCCUUAUGUCCGGGGCUACACACGUGCUACAAUGGUAGUUACAGAGGGAAGCGAAGCUGCGAGGUGGAGCGAAUCUCAUAAAAGCUGCCACAGUUCGGAUUGAGGUCUGCAACUCGACCUCAUGAAGUCGGAAUCGCUAGUAAUCGCGCAACAUCAUGGCGCGGUGAGUACGUUCCCGGGCCU